AGGCUGAGACCUGAUGCCGAGCCGAUUGUGGUGAAGUGGAUGAUCCUAUGCUGUCGAGAAAAGCCUCUAGCGAGUUUCAUGGCGGCCCGUACCCUAAACCGACUCAGGUGGUCAGGUAGAGAAUACCGAGGCGUUCGGGUGAACUAUGGUUAAGGAACUCGGCAAAAUGCCCCCGUAACUUCGGGAGAAGGGGGGCCAUCACUGGUGAUUGGAUUUACUCCAUGAGCUGGGGGUGGCCGCAGAGACCAGCGAGAAGCGACUGUUUACUAAAAACACAGGUCCGUGCGAAGCCGUAAGGCGAUGUAUACGGACUGACGCCUGCCCGGUGCUGGAACGUUAAGGGGACCGGUUAGUCACUCUUCGGGGUGGCGAAGCUGAGAACUUAAGCGCCAGUAAACGGCGGUGGUAACUAUAACCAUCCUAAGGUAGCGAAAUUCCUUGUCGGGUAAGUUCCGACCUGCACGAAUGGCGUAACGACUUCUCGACUGUCUCAACCAUAGGCCCGGUGAAAUUGCACUACGAGUAAAGAUGCUCGUUUCGCGCAGCAGGACGGAAAGACCCCGGGACCUUUACUACAGUUUGAUAUUGGUGUUCGGUUCGGCUUGUGUAGGAUAGCUGGGAGACUGUGAACUCUGGACGCCAGUUCAGGGGGAGUCGUCGUUGAAAUACCAGUCUGGUCGUGCUGGAUGUCUAACCUGGGUCCGUGAUCCGGAUCAGGGACAGUGUCUGAUGGGUAGUUUAACUGGGGCGGUUGCCUCCUAAAGAGUAACGGAGGCGCCCAAAGGUUCCCUCAGCCUGGUUGGCAAUCAGGUGUUGAGUGUAAGUGCACAAGGGAGCUUGACUGUGAGACCGACGGGUCGAGCAGGGACGAAAGUCGGGACUAGUGAUCCGGCGGUGGCUUGUGGAAGCGCCGUCGCUCAACGGAUAAAAGGUACCCCGGGGAUAACAGGCUGAUCUUCCCCAAGAGUCCAUAUCGACGGGAUGGUUUGGCACCUCGAUGUCGGCUCGUCGCAUCCUGGGGCUGGAGUCGGUCCCAAGGGUUGGGCUGUUCGCCCAUUAAAGCGGUACGCGAGCUGGGUUUAGAACGUCGUGAGACAGUUCGGUCCCUAUCCGCUGCGCGCGCAGGAAUAUUGAGAAGGGCUGUCCCUAGUACGAGAGGACCGGGACGGACGAACCUCUGGUGUGCCAGUUGUUCUGCCAAGGGCAUGGCUGGUUGGCUACGUUCGGGAGGGAUAACCGCUGAAAGCAUCUAAGCGGGAAGCCUGCUUCGAGAUGAGUAUUCCCACCCACUUGAUGGGGUAAGGCUCCCAGUAGACGACUGGGUUGAUAGGCCGGAUCUGGAAGCCCAGUAAUGGGUGGAGGUGACCGGUACUAAUAGGCCGAGGGCUUGUCCUCAGUUG
rnacentral:rRNA from 1 species